UAGUAUACUGCUAGUAAAGAAGCUGAUCUAAACCCCUCCCCCACCAAAAAACGCAAUUUUCCUUUUUCGCCCUCAUUUGCAUUCAUCUAAUCUUUCCAAACUCAAUUUUAUUCUCUCUUUCUUCCUCUCUGAGAAUCAGAAUCCAUCUUAGGAUUCUCUAAUUUAAAUCCUCGAUUAUUUUAAUUAUUUUUUUUUUUUAAAUAUUUGCUCUUCCUUCUGAAAUCUUGACAGUUAAAGCUUCCAAAUUUGGUCAAAUUGGGGGGAAAAGAAGAUGCAGAACAACAUCUUCACUUCGAUUCGGAGCUUGAAGAUCAUCGACGCUUGUAAAGGCACUCAGGUCCACGUGCUUGAUACUUCUCCCUCCGCCGCCGGAGCCUCCGCAGACGGUGGCGGCGUUGAGAAUCUUCAUCACCAGCACCUCCUUCACGAUCAAGCCAAAGCCCACACCCAAACCAAACAGGGUCGGAGCUUCCAAACCACAACAGCAGCAUCAACAAAGGCAGCAGCAUGCGAUGUCGUUUUGGAGAGCCUCCUCCUUCUUCCUCACGGCCUGCCUACCUCUGAGCUUCUAGAACCUUCCAUCGAGCCUUCUCUGAAGUCCCUCGAUUUCGUGAAAACGCUUGCCGAGGUUUAUCGGAGAGUCGAGAAUUGUGACCAAUUGGCGAAAUCGGAGGCGUUUUUGGAGGAGGCAGCUAUUUUCCGUGGGCUGCAGGACCCCAAGCUGUUCCGGCAGAGCCUCCGGUCGGCGCGGCGGCAUGCUGUAGAGGUGAACGACAAGGUUGUGCUCUCGUCGUGGCUUCGGUACGAGAGGAGAGAGGACGAGCUCGUUGGAUCGUCGGCAAUAGAUUGUUGUGGAGGAAACCUUGAAUGCCCCAGGUCAAGCUUAAUUCCAGGCUAUGAUCCUGAGUCAGUGUUAGAUCGGUGUUCAUGUUCGGGUAGAGAAGUUAUUGGUAGUGAUGAUAAAGAGCUUUUAGAGGAAUGUUCAACUUCCAAUGAUGAUGUUGAAUUGUGGUUUUGCAUUGGUGAUAGUGAAAUUAGGUGUAGGAGACACUGUAUGGCAUCACUUUCGAGGCCGUUUGAGGCAAUGUUGCAUGGCGAAUUCCUCGACUCUAGGAGGGAGAAGAUAAACUUCUCAAUGAAUGGGAUUUCUGUUGAGGCAAUGGAGGCUGCUGAGGUUUUUAGUAGGACUAGGAGGCUGAAUGGGUUUACACCUAAUGUUGUUCUAGAGUUGCUUUCAUUUGCAAACAAGUUUUGCUGUGAUGAGAUGAAGUCUGCGUGUGAUGCUCAUCUGGCUUCUCUGGUGUGUGGCAUGGAUGAUGCCAUGUUGCUGAUUGACUAUGCGCUAGAGGAGGCCGCGCAUCUGCUUGUGGCAGCUUGUUUGCAGGUUUUUUUGAGAGAGCUACCCAGUUCGAUGCAGCGUGCAAAUGUUGUUAAAUUGUUUUGUAGUCCAGAGGGUAGGGAUAGAUUGGCUAUGGCUCGGCAUGCGUCAUUUUUGUUGUAUUAUUUUUUAAGCCAGGUUGCAAUGGAGGGAGAGUUGAAGUCUGAUAAGACUGUGAUGCUAUUGGAAAGACUAGGAGAGUGCGCAGUGAAAGGUUGGCAGAAGCAGCUAGCUUAUCACCAAUUAGGUGUUGUAUUGCUUGAGAGGAAAGAAUACAAGGAUGCACAGCGUUGGUUUGAGGCUGCCGUUGAGGCAGGACAUAUUUAUUCAUUAGUUGGUGUUGCAAGGGCCAAGUAUAAGCGUGGUCACACAUAUUCAUCGUACAAGAUGGUAAACUCGCUUAUUUCUGAUUAUAAACCAGUUGGCUGGAUGUAUCAAGAAAGGUCUUUGUAUUGCAUUGGGAAGGAGAAAAUGGCAGACUUGGUCGCUACCACUGAAUUAGAUCCAACUCUUUCAUUUCCAUAUAAAUACCGGGCUGUUUGUUUGCUGGAGGAGAAAAAUAUCGGAGCUGCCAUUUCGGAAAUCAAUAAAAUAAUUGGAUUCAAGGUUUCUCCAGACUGCCUUGAAUUCAGAGCAUGGUUCUUGAUUGCUGUCAAGGACUAUGAAGGGGCUCUACGAGAUGUCAGGGCAAUCUUGACAUUGGAUCCAAACUAUAUGAUGUUCCAUGGGAAUAUGCGUGGUGACCACUUGGUAGAGCUCCUCCGCCCUGUUGCUCAGCAGUGGAGCCAAGCUGAUUGCUGGAUACAGUUGUAUGAUAGAUGGUCUUCUGUUGAUGAUAUUGGUUCUUUGGCUGUUGUACAUAAGAUGUUAGAAAAUGACCCUGGGAAAAGUAUUUUACGUUUUCGGCAAUCUCUCCUCCUGUUAAGGUUAAAUUCUCAAAAGGCAGCCAUGCGUAGCUUACGCCUAGCUAGAAAUCAUUCCACUUUUGCACAUGAAAGACUUGUCUAUGAAGGAUGGAUAUUGUAUGAUACCGGUUGUCGUGAAGAGGCAUUAGCCAAGGCUGAGGAGUCCAUUUCUAUACGAAGAUCAUUUGAAGCUUUCUUUCUCAAAGCUUAUGUAUUAGCUGACUCAAGUCUUGAUUCUGAGUCGUCAAAGUGUGUGAUCGAUCUCUUGGAGGAAGCUCUUAGAUGUCCUUCAGAUGUCCUUCGUAAAGGACAAGCACUAAAUAAUUUAGGGAGUGUUUACGUAGAUUGUGAAAAGCUGGACCUUGCUGCCAACUGCUACUUGCAUGCCCUCGAUAUCAAGCAUACACGAGCACAUCAGGGUUUGGCACGUGUAUAUCAUCUUAAAAAUCAGAACGAAGCUGCAUAUGACGAGAUGACAAAGCUAAUUGCAAAGGCCCAAAACAAUUCAUCAGCUUAUGAGAAGCGUUCAGAAUAUUGUGAUCGUGAUAUGGCAAAGAAUGAUCUUAACAUGGCAACACAGUUGGAUCCUCUACGGACUUAUCCUUACAAAUAUAGGGCAGCAGUUUUGAUGGAUGAUCACAAGGAAGAUGAAGCAAUAGUGGAGCUUUCAAGGGCCAUCAAUUUCAAGCCAGAUCUGCAACUUUUGCAUCUUCGAGCAGCAUUUUAUGAUUCAAUGGGUGAUUAUGCUUCUACUGUCCAGGAUUGUGAAGCUGCCCUUUGUCUUGAUCCUGGCCAUUCUGAGACAUUAGAUCUCCGCAAUAAAGCACGAGAGCAAAUUAAUGAACAAAAGUGAGAGAAUCACAGAUCAAUAAUCAGGUUUUCCUUGUUCUCUAGGUUGCAUUUGGUUAGUGUAAAAUAUGUGGACACAAAAUAUGUGGACAUGGUAGGACACAAAUAUCUUUGGUGCACUAAGGAAGAGAUAGAGUGAGUGAGAGAGACAGUGGGACUGAAAUACAGUCUUGAGAGUCCAUGUCAGAAGGAAGGCCACUAACAUUGUUAUCUUCAGUGUCUCAAUGUCUCAUUGUCCUGUUCAACCAUAAAGGGGCAAUACUAUUCUUGUUGACCUGCACCAUUUUACACCUAACAGCCUGGUAAUCAUCAAUUCUAUUUAUCUAUUGAAUGGUCUCUAGAAAGAGUACGGUCUAUAUAUAUCGUUCUCAUAGGCUGGCCUUCUAGAUGCAGAAUACAGAAGGAAAAGAGAAUUUAGAGACAUAAUUUGGAUCGAUUGAAACUGAAUGGAAAGUAGGGGAGCAAACAGCUGCUGCUGUUGCUAUUCUUGACUAGGCCUCACCAGUAAGAAUGGUGAUAAAGUUUUAGACAAAACUUGUCUAUACAAGUCAAUUUGUCAUGUAAAAGAUUCAGUAUUUGCCACCAUAUUUUUGGCUGAGCAAUUGCCGAUUCACAUCAUGCUGUACAUCACUUAGUAUGUUACAAAGCACAAGUAUUCCAUUUUCAUGGGAGCAAGCCCCAGGCAAGCCGAAAAACCAAGAGAGGAGCAAUAACAUCCACGACCGAGAUGUAGAAACGCCUCGGCUCCAAUUACCACCUUGCCUUCAGCAUCUUCCAAGAGCAGCAGCUGAAGCUGACUUAGGUAAUGCUGUUCUUUCAUUUGAUCAAGAUGAUGGUUGUGAUGGUGAUGAUGACGACGAUGAUGACAAUGAGAACAAGAAGAAUAGUGAAGUUUAUUCAGAUGCUAUGGAACUUUUUUCUUUAUCAGAGGCAUUAGACAUUGUUGUCCAACAAUCAGAGACAAAUCACAGUAGCAGCAAUGAUGUGUUGAGAUUAAAGCUUUCAGAAUCUAAUGUUGAUCAAUGUUCAAGCUAUAUGAUUAAUCGCUUUCUCCCUGAUGCCACUGCAUUGGCAGCAUCAUCUUCUGCACAUUUUCCAAACAAUGGUUACAACAAGAAAGGUUGUGAUACUUGCAGUAAUUCAAGGCACUCAUAUGCUUCUUCUCCAAAGGGUUGUGGCCUUCAACUUCUGUUCCCUUGGCGUAUGAAGCACAAGCUUUGUGCUAUAAAGAGCCCUGUGAUGACAUGCUCCACAAAAGUGCAGAAGCAUCAGCAGAGUUUGAAAAACAAGAAGCAUUGUUCAUCAGUUCACAAGACUAGUAAAAGUAUCAAAGGAGAUAUUUGAAAGUAAUUUUUUUUUCUUUUCAUCAAAGUCUAGGUUUGCACUAAGCAUUUUACUAAUGUUAGGUUAUAUUUCUCGGCGCACUGAAUGUUUAGAGGUACAUAUAGAACACAAGAAAUGCUAUGUGCACAUAAAAAACCAGCUAUUAAAUCAGUUACUAUGUAUUUGUGUAUAAAUACAUGUAUUGUUCAACUUAUUUUUAAUGUGUAUUUUGUAUUUCAGCAUGUAUUUUAUACAGGUAACUAAUUUGGUGGCUGAUUUUUGUACACAUAGCAUGGUUGAUAAAGCAUACCGAAUUUCGCAUUGGUAGAGGAAAUUGAAUCUGUUUUCUUGUA